rnacentral:rRNA from 1 species
UGGCGACCGGCGCACGGGUGAGUAACACGUAUCCAACCUGCCNNACUCGGGGAUAGCCUUUCGAAAGAAAGAUUAAUACCCGAUGGCAUAGUUCUUCCGCAUGGUGGAACUAUUAAAGAAUUUCGGUCAUCGAUGGGGAUGCGUUCCAUUAGGUUGUUGGCGGGGUAACGGCCCACCAAGCCUUCAUGGAUAGGGGUUCUGAGAGGAAGGUCCCCCACAUUGGAACUGAGACACGGUCCAAACUCCUACGGGAGGCAGCAUG